CAGCUGCAUGAUUGGCAGGCAGCCUGACAUGCAUUCAUACCAGGCUGGCCUUCUAAUUCUUUGGGCAGACAUGUCCUCUUUUUGGGCAUGUUUGCCCCUUUUGGCAGGUUACGUAAUUUGUGUCAGUGGCACACCCUUUUACCGUGCCCAUUGACUUCCUGCUUGACUGGAUACUGCUGUUAGGGGUUAUGGAUUUACUUGAAAGAUGAAAACAUAAAUUAGUGAGAGAUUAGCCUAGGGUAUGUGUUUUCUUUUAGCUGCUGUUUUUUUUCUCUCCAGCACCAUCUCCAUCAUG